rnacentral:rRNA from 1 species
UGGGGAAUUUUGGACAAUGGGCGCAAGCCUGAUCCAGCAAUGCCGCGUGCAGGAUGAAGGCCUUCGGGUUGUAAACUGCUUUUGUACGGAACGAAAAGGCUCUGGUUAAUACCUGGGGCUCAUGACGGUACCGUAAGCAUAAGCACCGGCUAACUACGUGCUAGCAGCCGCGGUAAUACGUAGGGUGCGAGCGUUAAUCGGAAUUACUGGGCGUAAAGCGUGCGCAGGCGGUUAUAUAAGACAGAUGUGAAAGCCCCGGGCUCAACCUGGGAACUGCAUUGGUGACUGGAGAGCUAGAGUACGGCAGAGGAGGAUGGAAUUCCGCGUGUAGCAGUGAAAUGCGUAGAUAUGCGGAGGAACACCGAUGGCGAAGGCAGGCCCCUGGGCCUGUACUGACGCUCAUGCGCGAAAGCGUGGGGAGCGAACA